GAGCUAGCCAUGUAUGAAGGCGCUGGCAACAAAACAACUGAAGAACUCGCGACGACGCGAAUAAAUACACUAUUAGGGGGUAGCACCAAAACAUAAUAAUAAUAAUAAUAAUAAAAUAAAGUAUUCAUAUUCACAUUUAGUGUUUUGAAUGAAAUGAAAAUGUCAUUCUUUCACUUUUAGCAGGCAGCCAAAAACUAAACACAAAAACAACACUGCGAAAAGCCAACCAAAAAAAUUGUUUGCCUUUUGUGUAAAUGUGCUCAGCUUGUUUUUUGGAUGAUGAAAAGGAAUGAGUGGGAAGGAAGUUGAACACCACAUUCUGCAAUUCUGAACUUUUCGCUCCCCAAUUCUCACGGACCUCCGGAUAUUUUGUUAGCUACUUCUGUCCUGCCGUCUAAUUCGUUUACAGCAGCUAAAACCGUACUUUGUUUAUGUUUCAACGUUUGAAAUCAAGAGCAAAGUGUCAACAAAAACGAUUUGAGUGUUCCCACAGUUUCGCACGAGUAGUUCAAAUCUGACCACAAUUGGUCCAAUAUGCUCUCGCCACCAACAAUGGUGAGUGAAGUGCUUCCGAUUCACCUAAGAUAAAACGUGUGUGGUUUUUGGGGUUUUUUUUUUUUUGCUUCACAAUUCUA